CACGUAGGGGGCAAGCGUUGUCCGGAUUUAUUGGGCGUAAAGACGCUCUGUGAUGGUAGGGCUGAGUAAGUCGGAUGUUUAAAUCCCCAGGCUGCAACCAUCGGGGACACCACCCGAACUGACUGCUCUGGGCUAGAGUCCGGUAGGGGAGCGUGGAAUUCCUGGUGUGCGGUGAAAAUGCGCAGAUAUCAAGAGGAACACCUGAGGUGAAGACGGGUUGCUAGGCUGACACUGACGCUGAGGCGCGAAAGCCAGGGGAGCAAACAGG
rnacentral:rRNA from 1 species